rnacentral:ncRNA from 1 species
CCCGAUAAGGGCAAACCCGUCGCGAGGCGGGGACGCAAAGCCACGGGUCAGGAAUGGUCCUGACAGCCGGGCCGCCGAAG